CGGUGGGCCUGUUGGCGGACGUGACACCGGUUGGGCUGGCUGGUUGUGACUGAAACAAGACGAGCGGUAGGAUAUGACCUGACGUGAUGCCCUGGCAAAGAUCCCAGCAAAUGGCCGCCAUCUUUUCAGGGGACUGAGCUGCACAGAGCAGCCCAAUGAGACCAGAAGAGACCAGCUGAGAGACCCGAAAUAAACCACACCACCUAUCGAGUACAUCAUCAUCCACAUGAUCGACUUCUUCAUGACCGAGGAUGAUCCCAACAUGGCAAAGAUCACCGACCUCUGAACUAAGGGGAUAAGACCUUAUCGAAACCAAUGAGCAAAAUGCACACUGUGAGUUGUCUUGGUUUCUCUGUGACGUCCUACAUUUACGAUGGCUACGAGUUAUCACAACAUGAAACACAGUCAUCCUCAUUUACGGUAUGUGUAUCUUUUCUCCUAAACACGUGCUGCUCACCGCCUUACAGGGACAUGCUUUGUCCUUACAAGUUUAUGCUCUCUGGUCCCCUUCCUUGUACGGUGUUGUCCUGUGGUUUGGGCAGCGUGGAGCUACGACUGCUAUAAAAGGCUUCUCUUUACACCAAGAAGCUUUGUCAUAUCUUCCUGCUCCUCUGAGGGAGGAGGAACAAUCUGUGCCUUUUGUACUUACGGCUUGUGUUGAUGAUUUCUGUAUUCUUUAUGAUUUUUCUAUAUUAUAGGUAGUAAUAAAAAAGAUACUUUCUCACUAGGGCUUUAUCCACUCAUUUCCACCACACA